rnacentral:rRNA from 1 species
GACUCACCAACUUUCUAUAAAUUACAUCAUUAACCUCACUUAAAAGUAAAAAGACUUUUAUAAAAAAGAAAGACAACAAGACCCUGACGAACUUAUUCUUAUUUAGCUGGGGAAGCUAAUUAACAAAAACUUUAAAUCUACCAAGAUACCGACCCAAUCCCUAUUGGAUAAAAAACAAGUUACCGCAGGGAUAACAGCAUCAUUGGGCCCAAGAGACCCUAUCCAAAGCCCUAUAUGUGACCUCGAUGUUGAAUUAAUAACACUACAUUUAGCAAAAGAAAUGCAAGUAGGUCUGUUCGACCUUUAAUAUAUUACAUGAUUUGAGUUCAGACCGGCGCAAGCCAGGUCAGUUUAUAUCUUCUCCCAAUAAGUGCUAGUACGAAAGGACCCCACAAUUAAUUACA